rnacentral:rRNA from 1 species
GACGAACGCUGGCGGCGUGCUUAACACAUGCAAGUCGAACGCUGAAGCUUGGUGCUUGCACUGGGUGGAUGAGUGGCGAACGGGUGAGUAAUACGUGAGUAACCUGCCCUUGACUCUGGGAUAAGCCUGGGAAACUGGGUCUAAUACUGGAUAUGACAUGCCACUGCAUGGUGGUGUGUGGAAAGGGUUUUACUGGUUUUGGAUGGGCUCACGGCCUAUCAGCUUGUUGGUGGGGUAAUGGCCUACCAAGGCGACGACGGGUAGCCGGCCUGAGAGGGUGACCGGCCACACUGGGACUGAGAAACGGCCCAGACUCCUACGGGAGGCAGCAGUGGGGAAUAUUGCACAAUGGGCGGAAGCCUGAUGCAGCGACGCCGCGUGAGGGAUGACGGCCUUCGGGUUGUAAACCUCUUUCAGCACGGAAGAAGCGAGAGUGACGGUACGUGCAGAAGAAGCGCCGGCUAACUACGUG